rnacentral:rRNA from 1 species
UACGUAGGUGGCAAGCGUUUGUCCGGAAUUAUUGGGCGUAAAGCGCGCGCAGGCGGUUCUUUUAAGUCUGAUGUGAAAGCCCACGGCUCAACCGUGGAGGGUCAUUGGAAACUGGGGAACUUGAGUACAGAAGAGGAAAGCGGAAUUCCACGUGUAGCGGUGAAAUGCGUAGAGAUGUGGAGGAACACCAGUGGCGAAGGCGGCUUUCUGGUCUGUAACUGACGCUGAGGCGCGAAAGCGUGGGGAGCAAACAGG